UCCAGAGGUUCUUUCCAACCCCUACAGUUCUGUGUCUCUGUGAUUCAUGUGGCUGCAGUGCUACCUGAGUGUAUCUUCAGCUGUGCAAGCUGUGGUUAUGUGCUGAAGGGAAGACAGAACUGUCAGAGCACACUUCAAAGUGAAACACAUGGUUUAAUCUGUGAUGCCUGUUAUGCAGAAUUGUGUGGACUGAAAACAUAAACAGGAAAAAGAUUAAGGGCUGUUGGGUUCCAAAUGUCAGGUAGGAUGAUUGUAAUGCUGUCCUUGGGAUCUGCAGGUCAAGGUAUUGAGACAGUAUUACUUUGUAGCCUGAGUCAGGUAUUGUCUUGGAGGUGCUUCCACAAGCUCACAAAGACUUGAGACAAAAGGAUUUGCCUACAUGUGUCUCACCAUCUUGUCUGUAAAAUGGGAAAAAUUAUCUUCCUUGCUUCAGAAACAUGCAGAAGUAGCUGAUGUUUGAAGUGUGGAAAUUAACUACCUGUUCAAAUGCAUUUGGUACCACCAUCUGAUUUCCCAACUCUGUUUAACAUCACAGCAUCAACCCACAUAGCUGCGACAUCAUGUGAAAGCUACCUUUCUUGUUGUAAUCUGCCUGUAUGAUCUUUUAAGUUCAUUGUUGGUAUCUAGGCUUGUCUCUACAUUGUCCUCACUUUUUGGGUAGAUGAAGACAAGAAACAGCACCUGCUAUAGACAUUCCUUGGUUUCACUACAAAAUGAUUGAGAGGUCAGCCCAGGAAAUCACAUUCUUAGAGUUUCAGAAGAUGACAAUCUUAAAGAUAAAAGUAGACAGAUGAGGGAGGAGAAACGAAUGAUCUGAGUACAGUCGCUCAAAGGAAGAAUGAAAGAGCAGAUCCACAUGCAGAGCUGUCUAGGGCCUGAUAUUAAAGUACGGUGUCUAACAGCCAAGUGCUGAAUUUUGGAAGUGUGAUGGCUCUGAGUCUUUCAGAAUUGAUUGUUUCCUCUUUAUCUCCUGUCACUGACCUUUGUCUCAGGCCUGCUAAUUUUUUUUCCUAUUGACCUCUGCCUAAAGGAUGUUAAUUGAGACGUGAAAGUUUGUAUUUUCACUACAGACCACGCAUUUGUUAUGUAGCGGCUUGAGGAUGGUCUUUGAACCCCUUCUGAAAGAAAUACAUACAUCAUGGUUUGUGCAUUUGCAGGAGAUGAGAUUUAGGGAUCCAGAAAAUAACAGUUUUCUGGUGCAAUUUUCCUAGGAUUUCAAUGGAAACAGAUGGCUCUAUGUGCAAUAGAAAGCACAGAUCUCCUUAAAAAAUCAGAGCCUAAAGAGGAGGCACAUCCACAUGGCCUAAGCAUCAGGCUGGCUACCAUCUUACCACAUUUUUGUUGUGACUUCAGGACUGUUUCUAGCCUGAACUUGUUUGGAAUUUUGGUGAUAUAAUAAUAAAUGUGGCAAUAGUGAUUCCUGAGCUCUAGCAUUAGGAACACAACUGGCUUCUUCUUGUGAUUGUGACAGUCUCUUCAUAGUGUUUCUGCUGACAUAAAACUUGGGAGUCCAUCCUUUUAGUUUGUCUGGGCCACAUCAAGUGGAGAAUAAUACUGCUAAGUAAGACAUAUAAGUAACAAAACUUUUUGUUUAUUUAUUUUAUUAAAGCAUAAAUUAAAAAACUAACGAACAACAACAAAAAAAACUGGUGGGAUAUAUGACCCUUUGUUUUUGUGAAGCUAAUACACCAAUCUAUUUCAGGGGCAGGGGCUGCAUUCUUAGGGAACUCUCAAGGUGUUCAUCAGAGAUUUUUGAUGAAAUUUUACUCCUCCCGUGCUUCACUCUUGAAGACAGUUGUUCACAAAUGUACAUACUGCCAAAAGCAGUGACUUGAAUAAGAUGUGCCUGUGAAGCAAGGAAUAUAUCUCUCUGACAAGAGAGGGCUUAUAGAAGUUGUGACUUCUAUAAACGUGAUCGAAGUUUUGAGUUGAAUAUUUGAUUGCAACUCUAUACAUUCCAUUUCAAAAUUCGUAGAUAAUGUACUUACGUCGAUGGAAAACAGAUCUAUAAAUAAAUAAUAUGGCC
ensembl:lncRNA